rnacentral:rRNA from 1 species
CAGUCGCCACGGUAAUACGAAGGGUGCAAGCGUUACUCGGAAUUACUGGGCGUAAAGCGUGCGUAGGUGGUGGUUUAAGUCCGUUGUGAAAGCCCUGGGCUCAACCUGGGAAUUGCAGUGGAUACUGGGUCACUAAAGUGUGGUAGAGGAUAGUGGAAUUUCCGGUGUAGCAGUGAAAUGCGUAGAGAUCGGAAGGAACAUCUGUGGCGAAGGCGACUAUCUGGGCCAACACUGACACUGAGGCACGAAAGCGUGGGGAGCAAACAGGAUUAGAUACCCCCGUAGUCCCUGUCUCUUAUAC